rnacentral:misc_RNA from 1 species
UUGACUUAUUCAGUACAGAAGACUCAGAGAGGCCAUACAAUUCAAGGGUUUGGUUUACCUCCGGCGGGCGCCCACGGGGGGCCGGGGGGCGCCGGGCACGGGGCCCGGGCCGCCCGCCGAAGCAACGGGAUAGGUAACGUUCACAAUGGUUUGGGAGUUUUGCAACUCUGUAAUGAUCCUUCCGCAGGUUCACCUACGGAAA